AACGAACGCUGGCGGUGUGCUUAACACAUGCAAGUCGAACGAGAAAGUUUCCUUCGGGAAGCGAGUAAAGUGGCGCAAGGGUGAGUAACACGUGAAUAAUCUACCCCCGAGACUGGGAUAACCUGGUGAAAACUAAGGCUAAUACCGGAUAAGACCACGUCCCGCAAGGGAUGCGGGAAAAGGAGGCUCAACCUCCACUUGGAGAUGAGUUCGCGGACCAUUAGCUUGUUGGUGAGAUAAAAGCUCACCAAGGCUACGAUGGAUAGCCGGCCUGAGAGGGUGAACGGCCACACUGGAACUGAGACACGGUCCAGACUCCUACGGGAGGCAGCAGUGGGGAAUAUUGCGCAAUGGGCGAAAGCCUGACGCAGCAACACCGCGUGAGCGAUG
rnacentral:rRNA from 1 species